rnacentral:rRNA from 1 species
AACGAACGCUGGCGGCAUGCCUAACACAUGCAAGUCGAACGGGCACUUUCGGGUGUCAGCGGCGGACGGGUGGGUAACGCGUGGGAACGUGCCCUCUGGUUCGGAAUAACUCAGGGAAACUUGAUCUAAUACCGGAUACGCCCUUUUCGGAAAAGGCUUCGUGCCGGAGGAUCGGCCCGCGUCUGAUUAGCUAGUUGGUGAGGUAACGGCCCACCAAGGCGACGAUCAGUAGCUGGUCUGAGAGGAUGAUCAGCCACACUGGGACUGAGACACGGCCCAGACUCCUACGGGAGGCAGCAGUGGGGAAUAUUGGACAAUGGGCGAAAGCCUGAUCCAGCCAUGCCGCGUGAGUGAUGAAGGCCUUAGGGUUGUAAAGCUCUUUUAUCCGGGACGAUAAUGACGGUACCGGAGGAAUAAGCCCCGGCUAACUUCGUG